GUUAAAUUUUCAAUAUACAUGUAAGAGCAAAGAAAAGAAAAAUGUAUCUCAAAAAAAUAAUUUUUACACUUUUCUGCUUAAUUGCCUUCAGAAUUCAAGUCAGUGAACAAUGUCAAGGCAGAACAAAACCCUGUGUAUUUAAUUUGGAUUGUUGCAGUCGACGAUGUAUACAAUAUUCUGGAAGGUGUGUCUAAAAAUUUUCCGUUUAAUUAAAGUUAAAUUGAAAAAUAUAAAUAAAAUUUCAAGGAGACAUUACAUUCACGAUAUCAAAUAAAAAUGAGUUAAUAAUGUAGGAAAAAUAAAUAAUUAGUUAUAGUAA